rnacentral:rRNA from 1 species
AGAGCGAACGCUGGCGGCAGGCCUAACACAUGCAAGUCGAACGGACCCUUCGGGGUUAGUGGCGGACGGGUGAGUAACACGUGGGAACGUGCCUUUUGGUUCGGAAUAGCUCCUGGAAACGGGUGGUAAUGCCGAAUGUGCCCUUCGGGGGAAAGAUUUAUCGCCAUUAGAGCGGCCCGCGUCUGAUUAGCUAGUUGGUGAGGUAAUGGCUCACCAAGGCGACGAUCAGUAGCUGGUCUGAGAGGAUGACCAGCCACAUUGGGACUGAGACACGGCCCAAACUCCUACGGGAGGCAGCAGUGGGGAAUCUUGCGCAAUGGGCGAAAGCCUGACGCAGCCAUGCCGCGUGAAUGAUGAAGGUCUUAGGAUUGUAAAAUUCUUUCACCGGGACGAUAAUGACGGUACCCGGAGAAGAAGCCCCGGCUAACUCGUGCCAGCAGCCGC